rnacentral:rRNA from 1 species
AACGAACGCUGGCGGCGUGCUUAACACAUGCAAGUCGAACGCGAAAGGGACUUCGGUCCUGAGUAAAGUGGCGCACGGGUGAGUAACGCGUGGAUAAUCUACCCAAUGAUCUGGGAUAACAUCUCGAAAGGGGUGCUAAUACCGGAUAAGACCACGGGAUCUCUGGAUUCUGCGGUAAAAGGUGGGGACCUUCGGGCCUACCGUCAUCGGAUGAGUCCGCGUACCAUUAGCUAGUUGGCAGGGUAAUGGCCUACCAAGGCAACGAUGGUUAGCUGGUCUGAGAGGAUGAUCAGCCACACUGGAACUGAGACACGGUCCAGACUCCUACGGGAGGCAG